CAUAGAUUGUAGCUAUCAGUGUAUCUCUGUCUAUUAUUACUAUCACUAUAUCUAUGAAAAAUAAGAAGCAAUACAAAUCAUAACUAUAUGUAUGAAAAAUAAGUAGCAAUACAAAUCAUAAGAAAAUGAAAAAGAAGACGUUGAAGAUGAUGAUGACGAUGAUGACAAUUGGGGGAUUUCUAAAUUGGGUUUUUGGAUCUUCAAAAAUACCAAGUGAAAAAUGGUAGCCAUUGUGGGGGUUACGACGGUAGUGGUGCGGUAAUGCGAGGUGGUCAAAUCGAACCUCAGGUGGGUAGUCCGGCUGGGUGGUGGCGGUGGUGGGGAUAAUGGAGAUAAAGGUGUUGGGUCGUGAUGAUAUCUCUUGUUGCCGUGAUGAGAGAUAAAGGUGCAGAUGGCUUUUGGUCUGGUGAUGAAUGGACCAACGGUGAUGACUAAAGGUGUGUUCCGGUGGAGUGUGGUGGAUCUCAAAGGUCAAAAAUUGAUAUUAAAGGUCAAACUUUUCGAUGAGUUUUCGAUGGAUGCAUACGGGAGUCAAUCUAAAUCUAACAAUAACUCUAUGAUGAUUGAUAAAAGAUUGGGAGAAAUUGGGUCAAAAAGACCAAAACACCCUCAUGUGGUAUGCAUGUGAGGGGUUUAACAGCUAAAAGUAACGGAAGUUAGUGUUAGGGACUUGUGGCAAUGAGAAUAGAAAAUCCAGGGACCAUUUGCCAGGGAAAAAAAGCACAAGGGGCAAAAUGCGAAUAUGACAAACCACAUGGAUCAUUGUAACACUUUCUCUAUUAUAUAUGUUUGACAUAAGUAAUUGUAGCUUCAAUUCUAAUUGUCACUUUUAGUUA